GACUUGUAAACGGGAGUUGGUGGUGGUGGAGACUUAUAAACCGGGGUGUGUGGAGGGUAGUGCGGCUUCUUGGGUGGUGGUGGUGACUUGUAUACUGGAGUUGGUGGUGGUGGAGACUUAUAAACCGGGGUGUGUGGAGGGUAGUAUGGCUUCUUUGGUGGUGGUGGCGACUUGUAAACUGGGGUCGGUGGUGGUGGAGAUUUGUAAACAGGGGUGUGUGGAGGGUAGUAUGGCUUCUUGGGUGGUGGUGGCGACUUGUAAACUGGGGUGUGUGGAGGAUAGUAUGGUUUCUUAGGUGGUGGUGGUGACUUGUAAACCGGAGUUGGUGGUGGUGGAGAUUUAUAAACAGGUGCAGAAUGAUAUGGUGUUGGUGAAGGAUGGUAUGGCUUCUUAGGUGGGGGUGGAGACUUAUAUACAGGGUGGUGGGGUGGUGAUGGAUAGAUUUGCACCGGUGGAGGAGGAGACUUGUAGAGGUAUGAUUUCUUAGGUGGUGGUGGAGAUGAGUAAUGAUAAUUUGCUGAGCUUUCAGAAGCUAAGCUAAGUGACACUAAAACUACUAGAAGAGUGGCAAAUAGAGAAGCCAUU
rnacentral:lncRNA from 1 species